GAUGAACGCUGGCGGCGUGCCUAAUACAUGCAAGUCGAGCGAACAGACGAGGAGCUUGCUCCUCUGACGUUAGCGGCGGACGGGUGAGUAACACGUGGAUAACCUACCUAUAAGACUGGGAUAACUUCGGGAAACCGGAGCUAAUACCGGAUAAUAUAUUGAACCGCAUGGGUCAAUAGUGAAAGACGGUUUUGCGGUCACUUAUAGAUGGAUCCGCGCCGCAUUAGCUAGUUGGUAAGGUAACGGCUUACCAAGGCAACGAUGCGUAGCCGAGCUGAGAGGGUGAUCGGCCACACUGGAACUGAGACACGGUCCAGACUCCUACGGGAGGCAGCAGUAGGGAAUCUUCCGCGAAGGGCGAAAGCCUGACGGAGCAACGCCGCGUGAGUGAUGAAGGUCUUCGGAUCGUAAAACUCUGUUAUUAGGGAAGAACAAAUGUGUAAGUAACUAUGCACGUCUUGACGGUACCUAAUCAGAAAGCCACGGCUAACUACGUG
rnacentral:rRNA from 1 species